rnacentral:rRNA from 1 species
UACGGGGGGAGCAAGCGUUGUUCGGAUUUACUGGGCGUAAAGGGCGCGUAGGCGGCCACUGCAAGUCAGUUAUGAAAUCUCCGGGCUUAACCCGGAAAGGUCAGCCGAUACUGCGGGGCUAGAGUGCAGAAGGGGCAACUGGAAUUCUCGGUGUAGCGGUGAAAUGCGUAGAUAUCGAGAGGAACACCUGCGGCGAAGGCGGGUUGCUGGGCUGACACUGACGCUGAGGCGCGAAAGCUAGGGGAGCGAACGGG